rnacentral:rRNA from 1 species
GAUGAACGCUGGCGGUAUGCUUAACACAUGCAAGUCGAACGGUCACUUCGGUGAUAGUGGCGGACGGGUGAGUAACGCGUGAGAAUCUGUCUUCAGGUCGGGGACAACAGUUAGAAAUGACUGCUAAUACCGGAUAUGCCUUAUGGUGAAAGAUUUAUUGCCUGAAAGAGAGCUCGCGUCAGAUUAGCUAGUAGGUGGUGUAAGAGACUACCUAGGCGACGAUCUGUAGCUGGUCUGAGAGGACGAUCAGCCACACUGGAACUGAGACACGGUCCAGACUCCUACGGGAGGCAGCAGUGGGAAUUUUCCGCAAUGGGCGAAAGCCUGACGGAGCAAUACCGCGUGAGGGACGAAGGCUUUUGGGUCGUAAACCUCUUUUCUCAAGGAGGAAUAAAUGACGUGUACCUGAAGAAUAAGCAUCGGCUAACUCCGUGCCAGCAGCCGCGGUAAU